rnacentral:rRNA from 1 species
GACGUAGGGCGCGAGCGUUGUCCGGAUUUAUUGGGCGUAAAGAGCUCGUAGGCGGCUUGUUGCGUCGACCGUGAAAACCCGGGGCUCAACUUCGGGCUUGCGGUCGAUACGGGCGGGCUAGAGUUCGGUAGGGGAGACUGGAAUUCCUGGUGGUAGCGGUGAAAUGCGCAGAUAUCAGGAGGAACACCGAUGCGAAGGCAGACUCGCUGGGACGGUACUGACGCUGAGGCGCGAAAGCGUGGGGAGCAAACAGG